rnacentral:rRNA from 1 species
AUUGAACGCUGGCGGCAGGCCUAACACAUGCAAGUCGAGCGGAUGAAGGGAGCUUGCUCCUGGAUUCAGCGGCGGACGGGUGAGUAAUGCCUAGGAAUCUGCCUGGUAGUGGGGGAUAACGUCCGGAAACGGGCGCUAAUACCGCAUACGUCCUGAGGGAGAAAGUGGGGGAUCUUCGGACCUCACGCUAUCAGAUGAGCCUAGGUCGGAUUAGCUAGUUGGUGGGGUAAAGGCCUACCAAGGCGACGAUCCGUAACUGGUCUGAGAGGAUGAUCAGUCACAACGGAACUGAGGCACCGUCCAGACUCCCACGGGAGGCAGCAGUGGGGAAUAUUGGACAAAGGGCGAAAGCCUGAUCCAGCCAUGCCGCGUGUGUGAAGAAGGUCUUCGGAUUGUAAAGCACUUUAAGUUGGGAGGAAGGGCAGUAAGUUAAUACCUUGCUGUUUUGACGUUACCAACAGAAUAAGCACCGGCUAACUUCGUG